AGUUUUAGGUAAUAAUAUAAUUACAUUUUUGGAGAUCAAUAAUUAUUUCAUUGUUGAAGAGAAACGAUUAGAGGACAUAAUUUAAAGCAUAUCUGGCCCGUCUUUAAAAAUAGCAAUUGACGCAUUGUGCUUUCCACUGAACAAAAGUUGAGUGAUAUCAUCUGGUUUAAAAAAAUGGAGGUUCAAUACAUGAGCCUUAAGGAAGAUGCAGAAGUUCUUAUAAACGAAGUUAGUUAUGCUGUGAAGAACAUUUCUAUAUCUUCUUCACUUCCUUCAUCUGAUAAUUGUGUAUUCUUAAAUAUUGAAACAAAAGAAAAUGCCUUAUUUACAGUUCGCUUAUCGCCUCAAGGUUUUCAAGUUGUUAGUCAUGCUUUAGACAAAGAUGAAAAUGGAUCUACAACAUAUCCAAGAGUAUACGAAACAGUUUAUUCGCUGCUUGAAAAUAUUAGUGAAAGUUAUGUAACUGUUUUUGGAAAUGCGCUAUCGGUAAAGUUAAACGCUCUAAAAGAUCUGCAAGAAAAAAAUGCUGAAUAAGUAUCUUUAUUGCUUGAGUUUUAGUUCAAAAUGCAUCCACCAGAAAGCAGAAAAUUAGGUGCACCAGAAAGUGAGCAAUUGAUAACACAACGCAACAAUCCAAAUGUUUAGAGUGAUUAUUCUGAAGUAACUAAAAAGUUAAUAUAAAA
rnacentral:misc_RNA from 1 species